ensembl:processed_transcript
GUUUAUGUUUGUAGAGCAAAAGAACCAGGCACCAAAGAAGACGAGAUAAACUGCCCAGAUGAUCCCGCCUCACAGACUGACUCAAUAGCUGUUUCCUCAAGAAUCUGCACCCAGAACGACUUCCAGAUGGCUAGCUAGGAUGGACAGUAAGUCUGUAAGUCUGGACAGACUCACAGACUGCUCCAACCAGGACUUCAGUGAAGCCUUGGACUUUCCCAUCACAGAGACUUGACAAGAAACCAUACAGCUAGCUUUCUUAGGACUUGCCCAUUAUGCUAAUUUUCUUAGGCUCCCAAAAGAGAAUGCAAACCCCAACAGCAAGUAGCAGUUUUGAUGGUCCUUUCUUCCGUCUCAGCUCCGAACUUUGUCUCUGUAACUCCUUCCAUGGGUAUUUUGUUCCCCAUUGUAAGAAGGGGCGAAGUAUCCACAUUUUGGUCUUCCUUCUUCUUGAGUUUCAUGUAUUUUACAAAUUGUAUCUGAGGUACUCUAAGUUUCUGGGUUAAUAUCCACUUAUCAGUAAAUGCAUAUCAUGUGUGCUCUUUUGUGAUUGGGUUACCUCACUCAGGAUGAUAUCCUCCAGAUACAUCCAUUUGCCUAAGAAUUUCAUAAAUUCAUUGUUUUU